CGGCGGCGGCUGCUGCGGCCGGGCCCCGCUCUGGGGGCCGGGCCGGUGCUCCCGCGGCGCUGCCCCGCUCGGCGCCCGCGGACAAUGGCAGCCGUCCGCGCUCCGGCGGGUAAAGGAGGGGAGAGGAAAGGGGGGGGAAAAAAAGUCCUUCGUCCUCAGCGGGAGAGACUUUAAGCGCGGCCCCUCGCUGCCCCGGGGCGAGUGUCGGUGGCCCACGCUCACCCAAACGCGAGGGCAGCCUUACCGCCUCCCUUUGCCCCUGGAAAAGAAAAAAAAGAGGAAAAAAAAAAAAAAGAAAAGAAAACGCCGCGUGACACCGCUGCACAAACGCACGGCAUCGGCUGUGUCUCACACGGCGGGGAGAUGAAGAUGCAGUCUUUUCCGUGUGGGGGGGCUGAAUAGGAGAGUUAAAGAUUGUUAAGGGCUGAAGGGUGACCGUUGACCGUUGCCCUUCAAAGUCCGCGUGAAUGCCGUGGUGCAGAAAUCCCACCUUGGCAGAAGGGCUUUGUGUUUUUACAGGAGGCAGUGAUGGCAAGCUGCACCCAGCGGGGGUAACGAUUGUUAUUUCUGAGGGAUGCGCAGCCCUAAGCGUUUGGUGGUCAUCCAGGGGUUACGCGUUGUCGCUGCUGGUAUGGCGAACUCUGCUUGCCUCAGGCUUGUCCGGUACUGGCGGGACAAUAACCCUUGCUCUUCAGAUGGUUACUUCUUGCCUUACUGGCUGCUCUGCGUAUGGCUUCCCAUGCUCGUGUCUGCCUCAGAUUAUUGUACUGUUUUCUUUUUCUUCCACUGAACGGUAAUAGCUCGGUUGUUUCUCAGAACAAAUCUAAGGUAAAGCUUCUACAUCGCUCUUUCCCCACUACCACAUUCGAGAAAAGUCUUUGCAACCAAAUCAUUGAAAACUUCUGUUUUCCUCUUCUGGAGAAAGAACUUGGUUAAGGAUGGCCAUCGGGAGGAUUUUCCAACCUUAAUGGUUGCAUGACUCCGCGCUCAGAAAUCUGCUUGGAUUUACUUCACGUCAGGAAGUGCAGGGGUAGUCUGUCUAUUAGAAUCAUAGGAUCGCGGAAUCGUUUGAGUUGGAAGGCACCUCUGAAGGUCGGCUGUUCCAAGUCUCGUAUUCCCAGAACUUUGCAAAAGGGAUCCUACCUCCCACAGACGUCACUCUUUUGGAGGGUGCUUCUGGCACCGGCAUGGGCAGCAGCCAGGAGACAGAAGGGCCACUCGAAGUGCGGAGAAAUCCUUAUGUUACCUUGAAAUAACGUGGCAAAGGAGAGCAGCUUGUGUGUGGAAAAAGCCCUGGGGCGAAGGGACGGAGCUUUUCCUCUGGUCUCAUUUGUUAUAUCUGUGCAAAUUUCUGUAGCAAAUAAGCUAACAGUUAUACAGGCAAUAAUCUUAUUUACCUCGCGGUCAUGAUCCGUUCAUUUUCCCAUGCUAAAUGAGACAGUGGUCUGCUGGAAAAAGUAAUGUAACGUCUUUGAUAUUAUGACCAUAAGCAGUCCAAUUUAGAAUUGCACAAGUAAUUUUUGUUCCAGUCUCUGGAUGCUUGAUUUUUUUCCAACCCCACACAUCCUUUAACGUAAACAAAAGUACUCAUUAAAUGAUUACCUGCACCCACCAGAACAGCCCUUCACCUUGCUGGGUGCAAACACAAAGACAGCCCGUGUGGCACAGAGUUCAGGGCUCGGCACUGACAGAACCCCCACCCCAAUGCAGCAGAGUCUCCUUGCCACACUGUGUGAAAGAAGGGAUCUAACUGCACACAUAUGUUCAAGUCCUCUGAAAUUUGUUCCAAGCUGCUAGUUCAUCAGCAAAUACAUGUUAUCAUCAAAGGCCAAUAAAGCCUGGUUGGAAGUAUCGUUGUGUACAAAGGCCAGGAAUUAUGUUAUUCCCGACUGCUACUCUUUAAAGCAAAAACAUCAUCUUCCAGAGGAAAGCGGACCUGCUGAACACACUUCAGUGCUGGAAUUUGUUCAAGGUUCCAGCUCUUCUCUGAGCCUCCUCUAAUGUUUUGCCACCAGUGCUGCGUUAAGCUGAGUAGAUACGGGUUUUGCAUCUCAAUAGAGUCUCCUCCAGUUCUAACCAAGAGCAGCAUAUACUUUCUGCCAUCUUCUAAUGUCCGUCCUUGUCCAUCUUCAAGGCCAGGUUGGAUGGGGCCCUGAUCUCGUGCCUGACCUAGUGGGUGGCAACUCUGCCUGCAGCAGGGGUUUGGAACUGGAUGGCCCUUGAUGUCCCUUCCAACCUAAGCCAUCCUAUGAUUCUACUACUCUGCAAUCCUCCUCCCAUUUAUACUUGUACCCUCGCUAUUUUAUAACCCUACUUUGUUCACUGCAUCGCCUUAUGCAUUCGCUUGAUUAUUCGCUGUGAUCUGCAAACCUUUCCUGGUGUGAAAUUUAACACAGAGAAGCUUUUAAUUGCCCAGAAUUUUCAGUGAAGCUUGGUUAAAUUUCUUCAUCAUAACUUUUUUUCCCCCUCAGUCAGCACCAUGAAAAGGGGAAUCUGAAUGUAACAGUGUUUCCUUGAUCAGUUUAACCAUAUAUUUUCAAUGAGCCUUGUUCUUUAAAAUCAUUUAUCUUGUCUACAUGAUGUAUUUCUAUAAAAUUUGGCACACGGGGUACUGUGAGUAGACCUAACAUACAUAGCAGUGUUCUUGCCUGAUUUUCAAAUAAGUCCUAAAGUUGCUCUUCCGUAAGUUGAAAAGUAAUGAAUAAUUUGUUUAAUGUUCCUGAACUUGGUAUUCCCCUUAGGUAUGGCUGCUGUCUCACGAAGCUUCAUCUGCAGCUUUAGCGUGUAACAAAAAAGUUUAUGUGCACCUGCUGACACCUGGCCUACAUGUAAAACAGAUGUUGGUGAACGAAGUCUUUUUCGUGAGCAGCUGCAUUUACCCUGCAGAUUCACUCUGCCUGCUUUUAUGGAGAAUCACGUCCCUACUUGCUCAUUAACAUCCCCAAUUUGAUUUAAAUAUGGCCUCUAUGAAAUCGGUUGAAUUUUUGUUGAUCCAGAAUAUACCUAACUUAAAUCCACAAAGGAAACAAAAUGAAUUUUUAAAUCAAGUAAAUCUACAGUAUGAUCUUCACUGUCUCUAGGAUGAGGAGACGUGACAAAGCCUUCUGAUUGAACCCCCAGCUCCAAGUAGGGCCAAUUGUGAAGUUACCCACAGGCUUGCUGAGGGUGCCCUUCAACUCAUCACCGAGGUCACUGACAGAGGUGUUACACAAUACCAUCAAGGGAAUCCUGGCCGCCAGCUGGGUCAGCUCAUUCUGAUCACAACCUUUGAGCCCAUUGGUCCAGCUGAUUCUCCCCAGCUUACCUUCUGCUUACCUAGUUCAUACCCCUGUGAUGUGCUUAAGAGAAGCCUACAGGUGAUUGUCUCAAAAGCAUUGGAAAAGUCAAGGUAAUUUAUAUGCACUGCUCUCCCCUUCACUCUUCACACUGCAGAAGGUAGUUGGGUUGGCCAGGCAGAAUUUACAUUAUGUAAACUGUUACUGCCUGUCCACUGUCACCUUCUUAAUCCUCCCACAGACUAAGGUCAGACUGGCUGGCCCCUUCUUUUGCAAAUCUAGCCCUUUGAAAACAGAGGCAACUUUUACCUUCUUCCAGUCCCCACAUGCCUCUCCCAGUCACCAUGACCUUGCUGCGCUCCCCUGUUCUGCUAUGCAUGCCUUGUGGUUCCUACAACUCCUGAACCCCUUCGGCCUCAUAUCCCAUCUCCAAACACUCUGAGUAUCCUCCUUCCAUUAUCCCUUCACCAACAUCUCCCCUCUCCAAGUAACACUAACUUAAGUGGCACUAAAUUCUUUUAAAGAAUCUAGUAUCCAGCUCAACUUCUCCAAUGGGACUUCGGCUACAUUUGCAUUUCAUGCAUUGAUAGAUUGGUGAAUCAAACAUUUGGUUGCAUUUUGAUGUGUUAUUAACACAAUCAUUUUCUUCAUGUUCUUUCUUUUUUUUUUCCUAAUCAGACAACCUUGAAAAAUUCCCAACUUUUUUAAGACAAGAAAUCAGUUGAGAAUAAUUCCAUGUCAUAAAAUGCUUUGAAUUUGCUAAACUAACACCCUUUACAGGAAGGUACUAUUAAAAAUUCUGAGUUCACCUGACUACCUGCAUAGGAAAUUUCUAAAUGUAUAGAGAAAAUAUUAGAAUUUUAAUCAAUAUUUAUGCAAAUAUUUUUAGUAGUAAAUUACUCUUGUGUCAUUCAUGCUACUUUGUCAGUAGUUCAGGCUGAGACAAAGUGAUGUUCAGCUGAGGUGAGUAUAUGUGCAUAACUCAAGCACAACUGCUAUACUGAUGUAUAUUUCUCCUUGUAUUCUAGUGUCACACCUAAAAUCUCACACAUUUUACUCAGCCCACUUGUUUGCGCUCCUUUCCUUCAGCUAUGCAUAGCAACCAUGACCACAAUAAGUGCUAGAUCAAACAAAAUCUGCCCCUAAAUAUCUUCUUGUGCACUGCGACAGGACUGCUCAGCUGUUGGCACAGACACCCAACCAUGAGAGGAAGGCUUGCUUCUCUCUGCCUGCUGGGUGCUCCUGGACACCCCUCGCUGGGUGACCCUGCUGGCCUGAGCAGGUUCCUUCCAGCCUCAGGACUUCUGUGGUUCUCUGAUGCUUUUAGUGGAAGACAAAAUGCUUUCUGCUUCUCUGCUUUAUUUCACACUACUCUUCUAACUUUUCCUAUUACUCUUCUCUAACAUUUUCUUUUUUUUUUUUUUUUUUACCUUAUUUUCCUUUUUAUCUUUUAUUUUCUAGGCUUUUAUUACCAGUCUCUUCUAUAUUCUCAGCCUGCAGCAUGUGCUCAGCAAUACUUAUGCCCUGACAUAUUCUGCAUAUUCCUGUAGCCUGUUCAAAAAGACAUUGCCUUUCUUUCUACGAAGUAUGAAAGGCUCAGCUCAUCCCUAUAGUGAGACUUUAAUCUAGAAAGUCAAAGUCAUCGAGCAUCCACACUAAGGAGCAUAACUGAGCUACACAUAAGAAAUAGAGCUACGAGUGUUGCUUCGUGUUUUGCUGCUUAAAGAGAAAAAUUCUCUUCCCCUUGUAAUUAGACUGCUGAAUGUUAACUUACCUUCUGUUUGGAACUGUGCAUCACUGUCUUCCUCCCUUGGUUUCCUGUGCUUGAAUAUAUAAAAUUUCCAACCUUCCCUAUAACUUGACAAUAAAAUGUUUUGCUGAGCAAAGGAAGAACUGACACUUCUUAAAAGACACCCAAUCAUUAGCAAGUUGACAUGUACACUUUAACAACCCCUGUAGACACACCCUUUUUUUGCUCCCUUGGAUGUCCUCAGAAAAAUUACUCUAAUAUUUAACAAUUACUUCUCAUCACUGACCAAACACAUCAGAAUGUUUUCCUCCGAAACCAUAAUAUAAUGAUUGUGCAACUUUCAGUCUAAGGGGCCCUUCAUCUUUACUGUUGAAUGCACUUUCUAAAUUCCCUGUGAAGAAGAUUACACAUUGAGGAUGAUCAGUCCAUGUUCUCCAUUGGCCAUUUACCAUAUAAACCUGGAGAUAUGUACAUAUGUAAAUAUAUUAGCUCAUGUAAUUAGAGUGCAAAAGACAUUAGGAAAAAAAAAACAACAGAGAGGAGGUGAAGCAUGUUUUUAACUGGCAAAAACUCAGCAUGUCUGUACAAGUAACAUAUUUCAUACAGCAGACUUAAGAUCUGCCUCUCUGUAUUGCAGUUCUUAAUGCUGUUAUGAAAGAGAUGAAAUGAAGAUGGAGAGAUGACAGUGAUUUAGUCACAGAACCAGUUAAAUGGCUUUCCAAACUCGAGGCCACAGGUAACAUUUUGGUUUAGAGGCAGCACAAGCUUGAUCUUACAGACGUUUAGCUGAAGUAAAUAAAGUCCAGAAAGUGUAAAGAAUGAAAUACAGGGAGCCUGGCACAACUCAGCUCCACAUUUGAUUUCCAUUCCUAAACCACAGAAUAACCAAUGUUUUUUUUUGUUUGUUUGUUUGUUUGCUUGCUUGCUUGCUUUGCAUGGCAUUAUUUUAAUCUAAUAAAUACUAGAAGAAAGAAGUUAUCGUCCCUGAGUUUUUCAGACUACAUGGCAGGGCAGGAGUUUUCAAUUUCCUGAGACUACCUCCGUUUCAGCCUAAUGGCUUGCCCCCUGAAAGUUGGUUAGCAUCAGCCCCAUCUGACUCAUCAGAUGAAGGCAUUAGGGAUGGGGAACAGUCAUUCCUAAAGAGUGAGCCAGAGAGCACAGACCAACAGGUUGAAGAUUUCCCUGGCAGGUGUUGGACGUUUAUCCUUUCCUUCCCUAGGGAGCUCUUGGGGCCCACUGACUUCUGUGUGCUCCAGGGCUCUGGUGGUCUCCUUGCAGUCUUCCCACUUAGGGGUUUUAGGAGCAGCUGCUACAACCACAUGAUUCCUUCACAUGUAGGAUGGGAAGACACAUUGCUCACCAUACAGAAAACACUUCACAAGGUUUUCUCCUUUCUUGUAACAAAGAAGAAAAGUUGACAGAGUUGACUUUUAAAUUAUCACUGGUCACCAGAAUUAACAACAUCUCACCAAAAUGAGCCUCAGAGCUAUUGCUCCAGCCUUCCCAGGUAUUCAAAUAGACAGCAUUUGAUCGGUAUGAGAUAGCUCACAUUUCUGAAGUUGCUACAAUACCAUAGUACAUGCUCACGUCUCUCUCUCUUUAUUUAUUUAUUUUUGUUAGAAAUACUGCUUUUAUUCUUACUACACAUGGCUGUUGAGUUAAAUAUCAUCCAUCAGGAAACGGUGAGCAAAGGCAAAACGGAAGCAGAACAUUUUUUCGCUUUUAAGUUCUCAAAUAUGCUUUUAGUAAUUAUCAGAGCAUUUGCAAAAAGAAAUACUGAACGUUAAACUUUCACAAAAACUGAACAUUAAAUAGAGAGAAGGAACUAAGAGAAAUGGAUUGUGUUACUGUUUGUACUUGCAGUAAGAUAAUAUAUGCUUGAUUAGGUUCUUAAAAGAUGAUGCAAAUGCACGGAGUGGUUUGGAAAAGCACAACACGUAACAAUGCGCAUACUUACACAUAACUUAACCAACCCAAUCUUACUAUUGUCUGGUGACUCCAGUCUGACAGCUGAGGUACUGGGCUCUAUCAAUAGUUCUGCCUGUGCUGUUUAAAUCAACAAAUGUGUUGCAAGAGCCUCUAUAGUCCUUAACAUUUAGAAGAUGAGUGGCGUAAAGCUCUCCCCUAUCUCUUGCUGUCCUUUUCAGAAGACUACUUACAUCCUAAGCUUGUCGCUUUGAGUUUUGACUCUCAUAAUUAAUAAAGAGCCUGAAUUACAGAAUUAAAGCACAUCUGAAGAGGUGCUGUGCCCACUGGGACAUGGGCUUCUAAAAACAAUCGCCCUUUGUAUACUCCUCUGCCCAAAGCCUCAGCCUUACGCUCACUGAAGGAAAAAGGUUCUGUGAGAGACACAGAUGGUCCUGAGCCAGAGCUGUUCAUUUGUUACACUUAGAGAGUGCCAAAGUGUGAGGAGGAAUUUCAUCCCUAUACAGAAAACGAUCACAUUCUCUCUUAGUUUAAAUGCAGCCAGGUGGGUUAAAUAUAUACUCUCUUUCCAGAAAAAAAGAAACAACAAGAUCACGAGGCUGAAAGAGGUCAGGAGGUCAUCUAUGUCCUCCCCCUCCUUGAAAGCAGGACGCUCAACGCCUAUCUCACUGCUAAGACAUUGGUCUAACCUGUUCUUAAUGACCUGUGAUGAAGACAUCACAGCCUCCCAGGUCCCUGGGCCUGUGGGCUUUCUCCACUUGGUGAAGGAGAAAGUGUUUUUGACACUGAACAUCCUGCUUUGUCUGAGACCUUACGCUACUCCAUUUGCCAUGCAUACCAUGUGUCUCUGUGCAUCCCAGUGUGCCCAUCCCCAACAAGAUGGCAUUUCUCUUGUCAGAGGUCAGACCUGCCACUCUAACUUAAGGUUUUCAGACGCGCAUGUUUCAUUUCAUUAGAAACUGCACCAGAAACCACAUCUCCGAGGAUGAAAUGCCACCACCACCAGCAAGAGGAAAAAUAAACAAAUAAUCACUGUGCAGAAAGCAGAGCGCAGUACAGGAGAGCACAUUCUCUUUGGGGGAUCAGUGAGAGAAUUUUGAUUUCCUAUGAAAAAGACUCGAUAGGAGUAAACGAAUGUGAGUAGAAACAUAGCAGGAUCAUAACAACUCCAGUUUCUCCACAGGAAUACCAAGGUAACCAUAAAAACAAAGUGAAAAACAUUUGAUUAUGAUAAACAGGCAAGAAAAUCAUUUGAGGGAGGAAUUUAAAACUGGUGUCUACAUAUUUUCAAUUAAGUUGAAAUUGUUAUGAAAUUGGUAAACCACAAGAAUUAUACAGCAAUUGAAAUUCCUUAAAUUAAAUGCUUUCUACAGCAAAUGCAUAACAAGAAGAAAUAAGCUUAUUAUUUUUAUGCUAGAUUAUAUGCAAAGUACAGAGUAUUACCUAGGGAAAUGAAUCUAGUAAUGGCCAAGAUUUAACUGUUGGUAAUUUCAGGGUAAUUGAAAUUUUAAUGUGGUCUGUUCUCCUGUCCUCAAUGCUUUCUGAAAAUCAGGUCCCCUCCGAUGUUUCCACAAAAACUGGGGCACAUAGAGUAACUGGCAAUUUGUCGAAACUGUGGCCUGAAAGUACCUUCAGGAAAUAGAUAACCUCACAAAGCUUGGUGCAUUUUCUAGUGGACUUCAGUGCAGAUUUUGAGCAAAUACGGAAUACCCUGAAAUAUCAAAGAAUGAGUACUAACAGAUAAGUCACCUCUCAUCAAAAUGAAAACAAAAGUACAGCAUAAUAUCUGAUAAAGUUCUGAAGAAGAAAUCCAACACAUUUGUGAAAAGGAGAAACAAUCUCCCCAGCACAUCCCUUGGCAGACUAAUCAUUAACAAAUCAGUAUCAGAUAUGUUAACUGCUCUCAGAAAGUACCAAACUGAAUACCAGAAAUGCCCAAUGGCUCUAAAUUCAACAAUCUAACCAUAUUGCCGUAUGACACUGAGGAAUUUCUCUCUUCCCACUUUACCACAAUAAUGUUACUAUUCGUACUAGCAGCACAGUGCAUAGAGGUGCUCUAAAACUAGAAAAUGAUAACAGUUACAGUUUUUUUACAACCAUUACAAAGCUCUUUAUAUUUUAUCCAGAUACGUGUACGCAAGUCUUCGGGAGGUUUGAAUGUACCUGAGUGUACAAGACAGCCACUACAGAAAAAAAGAAAAACAACAACAACAAAAUAAUUCAUUUUGAGGUUAUUUUCCAGAAAAACUUUGGAGUGCUCAAAGAUACUGAAAUAUAGAGUGGAGGAAGUUAAGAUCAGACCUAAAAAAAACCCAAAGAAGCCAUAUAUAUAAGGCUCUAUGAUUAGGUCUACUUAAAAUCUUCCUUUUCCCUCAUCCUUGCAUCAAGCAGAUUUUACAGUCUUCUGUCUGGCCUUGCAGGCACAUGGAUGCCUGUUUUCUAGAACUGAAAGUGCAUUCUGGAGAGUAGUUACCCCUUAGGGUACCCUUGUGAUACAUGUUACGAAUAACCUGACACAGGAAAUGCCUAGGUGCUUUCAUUUUCAUUGCAAAGCAUUAGGCCAGAAGAGAAAACAGUUGCUCUGGGUAAGAUACAGCACCAAGUCUAAUAUUCUUCAAAGAAAUAUCAAUUACUUACGCAAAAUUGAUGGUACAAUCUCAUUUAAAAUGCUUUAAAAAAUGGAAGGAACAGCUGUAGUACCCAACCAGGUUGCCUUCCUGCAAUGGCAGGGCCUGUUUCACAGGUUUUUGUAGGGGUUCAUGAUGUGUCUUCUUCAUCUUACCUAAAGGGUGACUUCAAGCUGUUUUUCAGGUCUUGAAAGCCAUCUAUAGCCAUCUUUACAGGUCAGAAAUUUAGAACAGUGAUUAUUUAAGUUUAUUAAACUGUGUUUAAGCUUGAGGAGGUUUGUGAAACUACUUUCAUCUCUUUCAACAUCGUCAUUAACAAAAGUGCGUGCUAAUCACAUCAGGAAAUAGUAAAAUAAGAGGUACUGAGAAAAGAGCCAAUACAAAAAAAGAAACCAAACCAAACCAAACCAACAACAACAAAAAAGACAAUCAGUAAAGAUGAAAAUACUUAAAAAAAAACAAACAAACAAAAAAAAACACUGUCGGUCUUCUAAAAAUUAUUGCAGGGAGAACAUUUCAAUCACCCUGAUAUUCACUGGAUAAGCAACACUACCAGGCACACACAGUCCAGAAGGUUUCUGCAGUGCGUGGGAGAUUUCUGAUGCAGAUGUAAAAGGAGCCAAUGAGGAGAGGUGUACUGCUGGACCUUGUUCUUACAAACAAGGAAGGACUGGUUGGGAAAGUGAAGGCUGGGGGCAGCCCUGGAUGCAGCAACCAUGAGAUGGUGGAUUCCAGGAUCUUACAUGGAAGAAACAAGCCAAUUGGUAGGACUGAAACCCUGGACUUCAGGAGAGCCAACUUUGACCUCUUUAAGGACCUACUUGGAGAUAUCCUUUGGAUCUUCUUCCCCAAAUGAAGGAAGUAACCCUUUGGGACCAGAAGUCAUUUUCUGAGAGAAACAUUAGGCCAUUUACUUUAUUUCUGAGAAGAAUGGCAUGUUAAGCAGACCACAAGAUAGAAUUCACUUCUGAAAUGAGAUCUUGCAGAAGACAUCACAUGGUGUCACCCUCUCCCUGUCCCAGGUGAUGCUAUCAGAGAAGCUCAGUAUUCCUUAUUAAGCAGAGAAGCACCAAAACCUACUGUGCAGGCUGCACCUGAGGACAACACCUCCUCCUGUCCGCAGCCCUUUGUUCUCCCACCCCAAAUGCUUGUCCUUGCCAAAGCCCUGAUAAAUGGGGCUCUUGAUGGGACCCCACAGAGUAAUGCCCCCUCCCAAAUGCCUGCCACAUCCCAUUGUUUUCAGCUGGGCUCUGGCCACGGGCUUCCAUUCCCAAAGGCAGCCAGUGCUUCUUCUCAUCUAUUUUUCAUCAUCCCUUUCCAUCCCCUGAUGGGAUGAGGGAUACAUCAUCUUCAGAGGGCACCUUGCCUCCUGUCCCAUGGGGCAUGAAGGGUGGGGGGACUUCUCAAAGAUGAGCAGUUUACGGAGCCCACACAAGAAACCCACAGGGGGAAAUGUUUAACCAGAACACUCCCGAGGAAGGAAAGAAAAACAAACCAUACAACAUGCUUUUAAUAAACAGUGUGAAUCAGUCAGGAUUCACACGCAUGAACGCAGCCUUCAUCAGAGCAGUGAGGAGGGGCAGCACUAAUUGCUGGCACGCCGCAGGUACGCCCCUCAGUACUUCAGUCUGUUUGCAUCAGCUUUCCUUCUGCUUUCUCUGUGCUUCUGCCACAGCAUUUGCACAUGCAGUGUACCAGACGCUGAUUAAGGGCUUUGAGAUUUUCCCCUCAUUUUCAGACAAAACUUUUACCAACACUCUGCACCUGUCAAUGUCUUUUGGCUGAAAACGUUCAAUAAAAGUAUUAGCAUAAAAGCAACAAAGGCCUGUUUGCACUACGCACUAUAUGAAUAAUAAUAGCACUACAGGAGAAGUAAAAAUACAUGUUAUGCUUUUAUUUCCUGUUGCCUCUCCCUUCCCCCAAGUAUUGCAGAAAAUAAGCGCCUCAUUUCUUAUUUGCUUGUUAUAAUAUAUCCAGUGACUAAUCCAGGGAAGUGAUAAUAAAUGCAAGUGAAAGUUUGCAUACAACUUGAAGUGCAAAACAGCUUAUUUCACCAAAAGCUGGAUGUUCACCAGGAAACAGGGAGGGAUCCAACUGCCCCUGCAAUUGCUUGAGAUAUAUUAUUUUUAAAGAUGGUAUUGGAGUAAUAUGCAGGAGGAAAGAAACUGUUUAAAGGAUAGUGCCAAGACUGGCAAAUCUAAAAUUUCCUACACACAGUCAUACUGCAGCUAUUCUGGGAGCCACAAUCACCUCUUGGAAAAAUAAAUACAUUUCCACAGAACAGCAAUUCUGCAUGUUGCACUUGGCCAACUUGACUGAAACCAAUGGGGUAAUGACUUUUACAAGUGGCAAAAGCCAGUCCUUCCACAAAAGCAGCCCCUUAUCUCAAGAAAUACAGAACUAUUUUGUUAAAAGAAAAAAAGAAGGUAUUGGAAUAUGUUUGUACCUAAAUGUACAUCUAAACAGAAGUACAGACACUGAUUGUUCAUUAGAAAAUUCCUACUAGGAAAAGGAUUGCAAAUCUGCAGUACACAAACCAACGUAAACAAUCACUGACAGAAAAAUGAUGCUCUUUUUCUGAGAGGUGUUUUUAAAAAGAAACAAAACCCAAUGGCUUCAUAAAAAAAUAAAAAAUAAAAUCAAUGAGACAGAUUUCAGAGAAAUUCUCCGUGCCCCUCUGAACCAUCUUUCCUGAUGCUGCUAUGCAUUUUAAGUAGUACUAUUCACAUAUGAUGCAAAAGAACUAUAAGGAAACCAACCAACCAAAAAAAAAACCCAAACAGUUUAUCAUAGCUCUGACUGGGAUGCAUCCAAAAAGCAUCUAGAAAGAAGUGGGUGUAUACGUACGUAUAUAUGGAAGUAUAUCUGCGUGUAUAUAUAAAAAUGGAUUAAAUGUAUGUUGUAAAAAUACCUAAAAAAAAAAAAGCCACAAAGCACAUGAAAACUAAAAUAAAACAAAAAAAAAUGUAGGAGGAAAGCCUAUGCAAAAUAGAAUAUUGAAUGGGAGGACGGCAAAAGACUGUGGGAGAGCUCUAGCUCUUCUCUUUUUGCAAGGUAAUGAAGGCAAGGUUCGUAGAUAAGUCUGUUGUGAAAAGUAGCCCUAGCAUGGCCUGGUUAUGGGGCCUAACACUCCCUAGAGAAGCAGGGCCAUCUUAAGGAGGGGGCUUGGUGAAAUCUAGAGUGCAGGCUCCAAUUCGAUGUACCCAUCCAUCAUCUGCAACAUGCUUGCCGGACAUAGUAAAUAUUACAUGAUUUCAUAGUGCAUGACCGAAAAAGCUAUGACACAUGAAAAGCAGAGGGGAUAGAUGCUUCCUCUAUUAGCAAGAAGUUGCUUUUUUAGGGAAGGGGCUGGGCGCAGGUAAGUGAAUUACAUUACUAAACAUAUUUGUCCACAUGCAACAAAUCUGGCUAUGGACUCUGUGAAGAGUGUGAACCUUCAUCUUUGUCACGAUGAAUCCAACCUGAUUCAGUCCAUGUGGAUGGCCUUUUGGCUAUCUAGGGCCACAGAUACCCCCAGACUGCUGUCAAGGAUUUGGUGGCACAAGAUCUCCGAAGACCUUUGGGUGACCCUGGCACUGGUCUUAAAUAUGAAAUAAAAUACCAUUUCUUAUACCUUGAAGGAGUGAAAAAAUAUCUUCUGUACAGUAGGCAACAAAAAGAAAGGUGGCUGAGAGCACAUACCAAGUGAAUGGCACAGCUAGAGUCUCUAUCUUAGCUUUGUGUUUUGCACAAUACAGUUUCCUAAUGCUUUCACAGUUGUUUCUAGUGCUUUUCCAUUAAUAAGCUCCAAAUGCUUUGCAAAGAUUCAGGCAUUUCAAAAAAUCGUUACUGAUUUUGAGUGUAUUUUUCUGUGAACCCAAGUUGAAGCCCUAAAAGAAAAGAUAAAAAGCUGGCUUGGCAUCUAGUGCAACAGACAGGCAUCUCAGAGGCAGCUGGUGUCAAGAAGAGUGACAAGAUUGAAGGCACUCAAAAGUUCUCAUCAAGUUUCAGAGAUCUGUCACUUGUGAGUGCUAUUUCCUGCAUCUUUAAGACAUA